CCUCCCGAGGCAGCUGUCAACAUCUGGGCCUUCAGUUGAGGCCAGCAGAGGGUGUGUGCACUUGAACCUCACUGGCUCAGUGCUCUUGGGA
rnacentral:lncRNA from 1 species